GUAGCUUUGCUGGGAGCUGCGGUAUUCCAACAGCCCCUAGUGUCGGCUGGGAUGAUGUGACUUGGGGGUUAAAUGCAGUUUGCAGUUUCAAAAAAGAAAAGCAUGAUUUGUUGAAAGAGGCUCCUGAAGAAGAACAUGUGUAGUGAUGUACAAAAAAUGAUUCCUGUUGGACAUUCAACACGAUACUCCAAUGUACUUUGAACACGUCAUGUUCUGUGAAGGUAAAAAUUACUCCUCAAGUUUAUAAAGUAAGGACCUUCGGGACUGGCACGACCUCAUUAUGGCUAACCAGCUAGCUCCCCUCAGCACUGUUUUUUCCUGCUGGUCACCAGUAAGUGAGACAAACCUGUCUU
rnacentral:lncRNA from 1 species